rnacentral:misc_RNA from 1 species
UCUCCGUAGGUGAACCUGCGGAGGGAUCAUUACUGAGUGAGGGCCUCUGGCCCGACCUCCAACCCUUCGAUGUCCGACUCUGUUGCCUCGGGGGCGACCCGGCCUUCGGGCCCGGGGCCCCCCGUGGUCCACUCAACUCUGCAUCUUUGCGUCUGAGUAAACAUUAAAUGAAACAAAACUUUCAACAACGGAUCUCUUGGCUCUC